AAAAAGGGCUUCUGCCGUGCGUGGCACGGGGGGGCUCAACGGCCGCCCCCGCGGAAUCGACAUCAAGAGAUUUCGGAAGCACAAUUUUUGCAGCAGGGGCAGCUGGUAACCGCUUGUUCUGGCGCCCCG
rnacentral:snRNA from 1 species